AACGAACGCUGGCGGCGCGCCUAACACAUGCAAGUCGAACGCGAAAGAGGGGCAACCCUUGAGUAAAGUGGCGCACGGGUGAGUAACGCGUAGGUGAUCUACCUUUGCGACCGGGAUAACCAGUCGAAAGAUUGGCUAAUACUGGAUAGAGCGCAGAUGUCAUUAAGGCAUUUGCGGGAAAGGGUGGCUGUUCCACCGAGCAUCUAAGCUAGAAGCUUAGAUGCUGAGUGGAGCAGCUACUGCGCUGAGAUGAGCCUGCGUCUCAUUAGCUAGUUGGUAGGGUAAUGGCCUACCAAGGCAUUGAUGGGUAGCUGGUCUGAGAGGACGAUCAGCCACACUGGAACUGAAACACGGUCCAGACUCCUACGGGAGGCAGCAGUGGGGAAUCUUGCGCAAUGGACGAAAGUCUGACGCAGCGACGCCGCGUGGGUGAAGAAGGCCUGGUGUAG
rnacentral:rRNA from 1 species